rnacentral:rRNA from 1 species
GACGAACGCUGGCGGCGUGCCUAAUACAUGCAAGUUGAGCGCUGAAGGUUGGUACUUGUACCAACUGGAUGAGCAGCGAACGGGUGAGUAACGCGUGGGGAAUCUGCCUUUGAGCGGGGGACAACAUUUGGAAACGAAUGCUAAUACCGCAUAAAAACUUUAAACACAAGUUUUAAGUUUGAAAGAUGCAAUUGCAUCACUCAAAGAUGAUCCCGCGUUGUAUUAGCUAGUUGGUGAGGUAAAGGCUCACCAAGGCGAUGAUACAUAGCCGACCUGAGAGGGUGAUGUGCCACAAUGGGCAUGAGACACGGCCCAAACUCCUACGGGAGGCAGCAGUAGGGAUUCCUCGGCAAUGGACGAAAGUCUGACCGAGCGACGCCGCGUGAGUGAAGAAGGGUCUCGGAUCGUAAAAAUCUGUUGGUAGAGAAGAACGUUGGUGAGAGUGGAAAGCUCAUCAAGUGACGGUAACUACACAGAAAGGGACGGCUAACUACGUG